AGGGUUUGAUUAUGGCUCAGGAUGAACGCUAGCGACAGGCCUAACACAUGCAAGUCGAGGGGUACCAUGGGAUCAGCUUGCUGAUUCUGAUGGCGACCGGCGCACGGGUGAGUAACGCGUAUGCAACCUGCCCGUAACAGAGGGAUAACCCGGAGAAAUCCGGCCUAAUACCACAUGAAAGAUUAUGUCCGCAUGGAUUUAAUCUUAAAGACUAACGGUUACGGAUGGGCAUGCGUUCCAUUAGCUUGUUGGUGAGGUAACGGCUCACCAAGGCGACGAUGGAUCGGGGUUCUGAGAGGAAGGUCCCCCACACUGGUACUGAGACACGGACCAG
rnacentral:rRNA from 1 species